rnacentral:rRNA from 1 species
AGCAGUAGCCACGGGAAUACGUAGGUGGCAAGCGUUGUCCGGAAUUAUUGGGCGUAAAGGGCUCGCAGGCGGUUUCUCAAGUCCGAUGUGAAAGCCCCCGGCUCGACCGGGGAGGGUCAUUGGAAACUGGGAAACUUGAGUGCAGAAGAGGAGAGUGGAAUUCCACGUGUAGCGGUGAAAUGCGUAGAGAUGUGGAGGAACACCAGUGGCGAAGGCGACUCUCUGGUCUGUAACUGACGCUGAGGAGCGAAAGCGUGGAGAGCAAACAGGAUUAGAUACCCGAGUAGUCCCUGUCUCUUAUAU